rnacentral:rRNA from 1 species
GAUGAACGCUGGCGGCGUGCUUAACACAUGCAAGUCGAACGGUGAACACGGAGCUUGCUCUGUGGGAUCAGUGGCGAACGGGUGAGUAACACGUGAGCAACCUGCCCCUGACUCUGGGAUAAGCGCUGGAAACGGCGUCUAAUACUGGAUAUGUGACGUGACCGCAUGGUCUGCGUUUGGAAAGAUUUUUCGGUUGGGGAUGGGCUCGCGGCCUAUCAGCUUGUUGGUGAGGUAAUGGCUCACCAAGGCGUCGACGGGUAGCCGGCCUGAGAGGGUGACCGGCCACACUGGGACUGAGACACGGCCCAGACUCCUACGGGAGGCAGCAGUGGGGAAUAUUGCACAAUGGGCGCAAGCCUGAUGCAGCAACGCCGCGUGAGGGAUGACGGCCUUCGGGUUGUAAACCUCUUUUAGCAGGGAAGAAGCGAAAGUGACGGGACCUGCAGAAAAAGCGCCGGCUAACUACGU